UACGAAGGGGGCGAGCGUUGUUCGGAAUUACUGGGCGUAAAGGGCGCGCAGGCGGCCUUAGAAGUCAGAUGUGAAAGCCCCGGGCUCAACCUGGGAAUGGCAUUUGAUACUCUGAGGCUGGAGUACGGGAGAGGAGAGUGGAAUUCCCAGUGUAGAGGUGAAAUUCGUAGAUAUUGGGAAGAACACCGGUGGCGAAGGCGGCUCUCUGGACCACAACUGACGCUGAGGCGCGAAAGCGUGGGGAGCAAACAGG
rnacentral:rRNA from 1 species